rnacentral:lncRNA from 1 species
GGCCACGGGCACCUAGUGCCUUACUCAAUCAAGUACCAUCAUAACGUAUCUUUUUAUGUCAUAAUUUCAUAGAUAACUGAGCCGGAAGUCUUCCAUGAGAUAAGUAGAAUACAACAUGUGAUACCAACUUAUACAUAGGACAUACGGGCCUAUAAGACCAAAAUAAUCACUCGUAUACUGAACAUAUGCCGGCAAGGCUAUACAGUGUUUUACGUACAUGACUUCUGUCUACAAGCCUUUAAGAAUACAUAAUUUUUAUAAAGGACCCUGUCGGGAAAGAGUCCUGCCAUACCAAACAAUACACAUCUAAAUCAUACAAACCUAACAAGCAACUCUGAAGCAAAUGGAGGGCACCAACAUCUUCCAAUGAGCUGAUAGCCUACUUGGAUGACUCUCGACCUGUCUAUCGGGACCUGCGGGUAUGAAAUAUAGUGUCCCCAGAUAAAAAGAGAUGUCAGUACAAAUAAUGUACUGAGUUUGUAAGGUACAUAGAUAACUACAUAGCAGACAUGAAAGAAAUAUUGAGUAAAUGACUCAACCUGUAGGUCUGGAUAACUCUGUAAGUCAUAAAACCACUUAUAGUGUCAUGCAUAUGCGUAUGAAUGUCAUGUCGUGCAUAGGUAAAUAUUUCAUAACAUCAUCAGGCCUCUGAGGUUAUCUCAUCAUAUCAUCCCGGUCAAUGUGGGCAAAAUCGUUAAUGUAUGCUAGCUGAUCAGGUGUGGUGCGUAUAUAACGCCGUAACCUUUCUCUCUCUCUCCCUCUCUCUCUCUCCCCCUCUCUCUCUCUCUCUCUCUCUCUCUCUCUCUCUCUCUCUCUCUCUCUCUCUNNNNNNNNNNNNNNNNNNNNNNNNNNNNNNNNNNNNNNNNNNNNNNNNNNNNNNNNNNNNNNNNNNNNNNNNNNNNNNNNNNNNNNNNNNNNNNNNNNNNNNNNNNNNNNNNNNNNNNNNNNNNNNNNNNNNNNNNNNNNNNNNNNNNNNNNNNNNNNNNNNNNNNNNNNNNNNNNNNNNNNNNNNNNNNNNNNNNNNNNNNNNNNNNNNNNNNNNNNNNNNNNNNNNNNNNNNNNNNNNNNNNNNNNNNNNNNNNNNNNNNNNNNNNNNNNNNNNNNNNNNNNNNNNNNNNNNNNNNNNNNNNNNNNNNNNNNNNNNNNNNNNNNNNNNNNNNNNNNNNNNNNNNNNNNNNNNNNNNNNNNNNNUCUCUCUCUCUUUAUAUAUAUAUAUAUAAAUAUAUAUAUGCAAUGCAUGAGAAGUAUGUAAAUAAAAUCUUUCGGAGUACCAUAAGACCAUUAUGCCUCUGAUUGAUAUCAUAAAAUAAAUUUACGUAUUUUCUGAGAUCCAUGAAUAGGCGAUAGAAUAAUAAGACAUACGGGAGUUCAAAAACAUAGACAUCUCGAAUAAGAAUAAUGAGACAUGCAGGAAUUCAAAAACAUAGACAUCUCUAAUACUUCUAUGAAUAGAGUUAUUUAUGAAAUUUGUGCAUUUGCUCGUUUUAUUCAUGUCAUAUAGAUCAUGACAAAAAGAAAGAAGGGAUAGCCUUAAUACCUACACCGAUUCUCUUGAUAAUUCUUCUAACACACGUCUUUUUUGAUAAAAUAUGUAAUGGCAGAUUGAAAUAGGGGAAAUCCAUAUGAUAUUAUUGAGAAAGAUUGUAUUGUAGUCCCUUAGAAUCGCAAAUCCGACAUUGCUAUAGUAUUAAGUAAUAUUUUCAUGAAAGAUUGAAGCAUUUACGUUGAUAAAGCAAGUUCAUAUCUUUGAUGAAGCCUUUCACAUUACCAAAAAGUUGUAAGCCUUAAAUUUUUUGAAUUAGAAAGACUUUUAAGCCUCUGUAGUAUGCGCCCCACCUUGUAGACUUGGUGUCAUUAAACUUCACAAAUUUUGCCACAUUAAAAGGAGACUUAAUGAGUCACAAAUUUAGAAUUUGUGGGCUGCCACGUUAGGGCCCCUUUCGACUUAUCAAAAAUCUUAAUUCUUUGUUUAUUUUCCCACAAAAAUCAUUAAUUAAUCUAAUUAUUCAAAUAAUUGAAAAUUAUCUCAAAUUAUUUAAAAUACUAUUCACUUUCAACACAUUUUAUACAUCUUACUAUCAUGGUCAUGUGGUACCUUGUAUGACACUAGCCCAUAAUUAUCGGGUAUUACAGCUUGGACCGUAUAUAUCUCAAAAUGUCAAACUUUGAUGAAAUUCACUUUCUUCGGUUCGCUUACCCUUAUUCCUUCACUAAUUUAUUUGUCACUUGUUUUAAAUAGCAUAAUACUUAUAAUCUCAAAAUAAUCUCAUUCCUGAACUUACAUCGAUUAACUUACAGUGAAACUUUAACAUAUGAAAAUGUGAGAUAUAACAUCUCAUUUUCGAGCUUACAUUAAUUUACUUAUGGCGUACUUUCACAUACGAAAUCUUGGGGUGUAACAUAGAAGCUUUGACAAAGUGGGUGGAGUCUGGUGAGAAGAUAUAUAGGCCGACAACAAGAAGUUAUAAUUCUAGUGUCGAUCAGAUCCCGGGAGCACCUCCAAUAUUGAAGGAAGCAGAUUUCCAAAAUUCAUUCAAAAGCAUUUCCCCUUGAGCGCAGCACCGAAGCCGAUCCCGAAGUGGUUUUGAAUGGCCCAACACGCCCAAGUAUCAUAUGACCACAUAUCAAAAUAAGCAUGUAACCUCCAAUACAUGCACAAUCAAGGGGAAUGAAUUGGAAGACGACAAGAUCGAGUUGGUGUUGUUGAAGAAAGUUGGGAAACCUUGUCCAAAGGAGAGAUGAUAUUGUAUCACAACUUGUCUCCGAAUUCUAUUGAUUCAUUUGCUAUGCUUGCGGAUGCUUUUAUAAAGGCCUAUGCCCGUGCUAUCAAGAUCAGGACAAGGAAGUUGGACCUUUUUAAAGUCAAGCAAAGGGUUAACAAGAUGCUUAGGGAGUUCGGGUCGAGGUUCUAGAUGGAGGGAAUGGACCUGCCCCUGGUCGCGGAUAAUUGGGCCAUUCAGGCAUUUACCUAAGGGCUCAACCCCCAAAGUUUCGUGGCUUCUCAAUUAUGGAAGAAAAAACUUGGUAGUACCUCGCGGUCACUUGGACCGACGUCCAUAACAUGCAUCAAUUGACGAUUAGAGUUGACGACGACCAAUUGGGGGCUCCCUCGGGGACUGUUUACCUCCAAUAGAGAGAAUUACAAGUCUAAAAGAAUUAUCAAACAGAAGCCAAGGCCGAACAGAGAUUGAUACUAGCCCGGCUUGGAUUUGAGGGGAACUAGAUCUGGGUGCCACCCGACUGUAAACGAUAAGAGAAAUUAUCAAGGACCAAGCAAUCGAGGCCUAAUAAGCAAAAAUCUUAACAGGUCGUUGGGGAGUAAGAAAGAGACGAUAUUAUUAGAGUACAAUUUUAACGUGGAUGCUGCAAGUAUAAUGUCGGCCAUAGGACACAUCAAAAAACCAAGUGGCUUAGACCACUGUCAUCCGAUCCAGGACAGAGGGAUCACAACUUGGUGUGUAAGUACUAUGGUACUCAUUGUCAUAGGUAUGAAGAUUUUAGACGGCUAAUAAAAGAAGUAGCUUGAUCUUUCAACAAUGGGCACCUUAAAGAAUUCCUGAGCGAACGGGCCAAAAAUCAUUUCAAAAAAAAGAUGCCAACAAACAGGUUGAUCAAGAGGAGUUUCAACACGUGAUCAACAUGAUCAUUGGGGAGUGGAUGUCCCCCAAGGGCCAAUGAAAAAUGCACCAAAGCUUCUAUCACAAGGGAAAAAUGCACCCACGAUUAUGUCCCGAAAGGGGCCAUCUAAUUCAGUGACGAGAUGUCGAGGGAAUCAUCCAGCCUCACAAUAAUGCACUGGCAAUAUCCGUACUUAUCAAUAAAUCUCGAGUUAAACAUUUGUUGAUUGAUCCAGGUAGCUUGGACAACAUCAUCCGAUGGCGGGUCAUAGAACUAUUGGAUUGUUGGACCAAAUCAUGUCUUGAUCCAAGUGUUGAACGAAUUUAAUAUGGCGUGCGAGAAAACAAAGGGUGAGAUAACUUUAUCAGUAAACACUAUCGAGACCACCCAGGAAACAAAAUUCUACGUGAUCGAGGGGGAUAUAAAGUACAACUCCUUUUUUGGAAGGCUAUUGGUUCACAACAUGAGAGAGGUGCCUUCAACCUUACAUUAGGCAUUGAAAAUCCACUCCAAAAAGAGUCAAAGCAGUCUACGGGGAAUAGCCGGCCGCAAUGGAGAUGUUCGUUGUCAAUGAAGUAAUCUCUGUACCCGCAAUUUCGACAUCAAAAAGAAGGGAAUUGGCCAAAAAAGGAAACCAAAUAGCAAUCAAUGAUCCCGUCCUUAACCAGGCCUGAAAAAUAAGAGGAGCAUAUAGCGGACGGAGAGGAUAAUUACGCAUCCCGAGAUCUUUUAUAGAACUCGAUGACACUGAUGCCACUAAGUUAACAAUUGAGGAAUUGGAGCAGGUUAUACUGAUCAAGCACCUACCGAAUCAAAAGCUAUACUCGGGCACAGGACUAACUCCGAGCUCAUGAUAAAACUAAUUGAUUUUUUAAAGUUAAUGCCAAUUGUUUUGCCAGGUCCUAUUCAGAUAUGACAGGGAUCCCACUAGAGGUAACAAGUCAUAAAUUGAGCCUAGAUCCAAAGUUCCAUCCGGUCAAACAAAAGAGAAGGCUGUAGUCCAAGAUCAAACACGUGUUCAUCAAAGACGAUAUAUCUGAACUUUUGAAAAUAGGUUCCGUCCAGGAAGUUAAAUACUUGGAUUGGUUAGCUAAUGUAGUAGACAUGCCUAAGAAAGGAAAAAAACUUAAAAUGUGUAUAGAUUAUAUCUAAGUAAGGCGUGUUCGAAGGAUUCAUUCCCUUUUCCUAACAUCAAUCGAAUGAUUGACACGACAGUCGGACAUGAGAUAUAGAGUUUUCUAGACGCUUAUUCCGAGUACAACCAAAUUUAGAUGGACUCAGACAAUCAAGAAAAGACUUCUUUCAUGACCAAAUUUGGCACCUGCUGUUAUAACGUGAUGCCAUUUGGGCUAAAGAAUGUUGCUGCCAUGUACUAACGCCUAGUUAACUAGAUGUUCUAAGAACAAAUAGGAAAACCAAUGGAGAUUUGUAUUGACUAUAUGUUGGUUAAGUCCGCGCGAGCAUAGGACAAUUUGAAACAUUUGAAGGAAACCUUCGACAUAUUGAGGAAGUACAACAUGAAACUAAACCCGGAGAAGUGUGCCUUCAUGGUCAGCUCGGGAAAGUUCCUCGUGUUCAUGGUAUCUAACUGGGGAAUAGAGAUCAAUCUAGACGAAAUAAAAGCUACAGAAUAUAUCAACGUAGUUAACAACAUUAAGACAGUAUAAAGAAUGACUGGGUGGAUAGCCGCAUUGGGUCGGUUUAUUUUGAGAUCAUCAGAUAAGAGCCACCGAUUUUUCUCAUUAUUGAAAAGGACGAAUAACUUCUCUUGGACCCCAGAGUGCCAGAGAGCUUUAGAAUAACUCAAGCGAUACUAUCAAGCCCUCCCAGCUUGAUGCACACUUUGAAGGCGGACAAAUAGCAAUGCCUCUACUUGGAGGUUUCUGAGGUGGCAGUAAGUGGUGUCCUAGUCUGGGAAGAAGAAGGAACGCAAUUUUCUAUUUAUUAUAUCAGUAGAAGCCUAGCCAAUGCCGAAACAAGAUAUCCACACUUAGAAAAAUUAGCGCUCGCCUAAUUAAGCGCAUCUAGGAAAGUAAAAUCGUACUUUCAAUGUCGCCCCAUAUGUUUCAUGAUCCUGUACCCACUAAAGAAUGUUUUGAACAAACCCGAUCUCUCAUUCUGGUUGGCGAAAUGGGCCGUAGGAAAAUUAGCGGGUACAAUUUUGAGUACAAACUCCGGACCGCCACAAAAUCUCGGAUUUUGGCGGACUUCGUAGUCGACUUUACUUUGGCCUUCAUCCUCGGGUUGAGAACAAAUUACUGCUCACUUUGGGGACUAGCUCGGGGAUCUGGACCCUAAUUACACGCGGUGCUUCCAACGGGAAGGGUUCCGGGCUAGGUAUUGUAUUAAAACCACAUGCGGAUAAUGUAAUAAGGCAGUCUAUUAGAACUAUAAAAUUGACUAAUAACGAAGCUGAAUGUGAGGCUGUGAUUGCAGGCCUAGAACUGGCUAAGAGCCUGGGGGCCGAAGUGAUUGAGGAUAAAUGUGACUCCCUCCUUGUCGCCAACCAAGUCAACGGGACGUUUGAAGUAAAAGAGGAACGCACGCGGAGAUAUUUCGAUAAGUUGCAGGUGACAUUACACCAAUUCAAGGAAUGGACUUUACAGCACGUAUCUCAUGAUAAAAAUAAUAUAGCCGAUGCAUUGGCUAAUUUGGGGUCAUCAGUCGACUCCGAUGACUUCAACUCAGGAGUAGUGGUACAGUUGAUGAACUCGGUAGUAGAAGAAGGUCACACGGAGAUGAAUUCGACAAGUGUGACUUGGGAAUGGAGAAACAAAUACAUAAACUAUCUGGAGAAAGGAAAAUUUCCAUCCGAUCCCAAGGAGCCAAGGGCCGUACAUGCUAAAGCUGCCAAGUUCAGCUUGGUCGAGAGAAAAUUGUACCGUCGGGACACUAGCUAGGUAUCCUAGAGACCAUAUUCAGUAUUAACUUAAGCAUUUAAUCACAAUUUGAUCGCUUAUAACCUUAGGUAUUUAGAUUAAUUCACUAUUUUAUAAGUUUUAGACUUUAGGAACUAAACUGAACUGGCCUAUUUAACUUUUAAGGAUUUAAAACUUUUCUUCUAACAUACAAGGCCAAUUUGCCUCUUAAAUUCAUUGACUUGACCCAAUAAGCUUAAACCCAAGAACUUCAAACUAUUUUCUAUUAAAAUUUAAGGGAUCUUAAUACAAAUAGCUGGUCGAAUUCACAACUUUUUUUAUAUACAUAAAAUAUAUACAGUUAAAUAUACCAUAAAUGGUGUUACAUUCUAAAUAAUAGUUGAGUUAAUUUUAGGUGUCCUAAUCUAAACAUUAAGUGGCAAACUUUACUUUAACCCGAUUAAAAUUGGGUGCAACAUUUUAUACACAAACAAGCAUUGUGAUGAAAGAAAAAUAAAGAGAUAGAGGGUGUGUUUGGUAUGAAGGAAAAUAUUUUUCGGAAAAUAUUUUUCAUAUUUUUCAUGUUUGGUUGGUUUAAAUAUUUUGAAAAAUAUUUUCCUUAUCAAUUCAUUUUCCUCCAAUUGGAGAAAAAUAUUUUCCUUACCAAAAGAAAGGAAAAUAUUUUCCAAAGCUCCUUCUCAACCUUUCCCACCCUCACCAACCCACCCCAUGAAAUGACCUGACCCUUCGUCCCGUGAAUUAUCGUCCUGUUUUCCCGUUUUAUGCUUUCAUAUGUUUCAGUAUACGUAUUUGGAGAGUUUGAAGUAAUUCGGAUGGAGUUUGGAUAGAAAUGAGACAAUUAGUCUCUUUAUUAAAAGGCUAGUUUGGAAAAGUCAAACGUUGACUUAUGAGUUAGAGAGCUCGUAAUGGAUUUUGGAUGAUUCGACUAGUAUUAGAUGGUGAUUUAUGACUUAGGAGUGAAAUUAAAAUUGAAUUUGGAGGUCCAGUGUAGAAUUAAGCUCGAAUUGGCUAAGUUGGAAAUUUGGCGAAGUCUGGUUGAUAGGUGAGAUUUUGAUCCGGGAGUCAGAAUGGAAUUCCGGCAAUUGCAGUAGCUCCAUCAGGUAAUUUUGGAUAUGCGUGCAAUUUUUCAGAUCAUUCGGAGGUGUUUAUGGCAGGUUUGGGAUCAAAUGCAAGUUUCGGAAGUUUUAGUUUAACUUAGGCUUGAAUCCGUGGAAAUUUGAUUUUUUUGAUGUUUAUAAUAGUGUUUUUAUGUCAAGAGAAAGUUUGAAUGAAGUAAUAAGAUGUAUUUUUGCUUCUUUUUUUUUUUGAGGUAUCAAGGGCCUCGGGGUGAUUUUGGAUGGUAGAACUGAAGGUUUUUGGACUUAGGAUGUUGCAGAAAAACUGCUGGUGUGUUGCAGAGAUAUUGCCCUAUGCGAUCGAAUAGGGUGCAUUGAGAUCGCAUAGGAGGAUCGGGAAGGGGUUCAAUUUUGCUCUAUGCGAUCACAGGGGGAGCAUUGCGAUCGCAUAGGUUGGGCAUGUUGGUCUGUGCAUUCGCAUAAGGGAAUGUGCGAUCGCGUAGUGCAGCUUAGGUCCCUGGCAAAGGUUUGUACAAUGCGAUCGCAUAGUCGAGAGUGCGAUCACAUAGGAGCAAAUUAGGGAGCUUGGAUUUUGGCCUAUGCGAUCUCAAUAGGGGUGCUGCGAUCGCAUAUAGGAAAGAACUGGGCGGACAGAAUAUUUUAAGGGUUAUUUCACCCGCGACUUAAACAUAUUUUCCUACAUUGUUAAGCAACCAAAGGAGCUAUUUGAGCGAUUUGAAGUGUGAUUUAAGCGGGUAUCGAUUGGAGGUAAGUCUCUUGACUUAAAAAUGCCAUUUUUAGGAAGAAUUAACCCCUAAUUCCAUGAAAUUGUGAGGAAUUAGUACUUAGUUUUUAGAAACAAAUUUUGGGGAUUUGAAGGGCCAAACGGACUCCUUUUUUGGUGAACUUUAUAUAUACGGACUCGUUGCGAGACGAGGAAUCCAAAUAUGUGAUUUUCAGAAUUUUUCGAGCAGUGGUCCCGGAGCUCGGGUCUUACCAACUUCGUAAUUUUUAGAAUUUUUUGAAUAAUUUCAAUUGGGUUAUGUUUAUUUAGCCUAUAAUAACGUAUACAUUGUGGUUUUGAAUAGAUUCUAUGCUCGUAGAAUGAUAUUCGAAGGGAAAGGGCAUUGCAGACCAGUCUACGACUGGUUAGAGGUGAGUAGUUUGUAUAUAUGAUGGUCUGAGGGUUUGAAACCUCGAAUUAUCACAUCGUGACGCUAUGUUAGGGCGUGAAUCACACCCCAUGGAAGGUGCGGGGUUGUAAAAGAUUGGGUAUUGUGACUUGGUCCAUCCCGAGAGCUGAAAGAAAUUAUUAGCAUCUGAUACACAUAUUGUGUUAUUGAUAAUUGGGUUUAAUGCCAUGUUUGGGGUUGUGUGCCGAGCUGUAGUACCCGUCUAGGAUGAAUAUCUGUAUGAUAACAUGAUUUGCAUAAUCAUUGAUUACAGUCAUGUGCUUAAUCACCGUUAUUAAAUGCUAAGUCACCUUAUUUCUAAAAUUGACUAAUUAAAUUAUGUUCUCCUUAAUAAUUGGAAACUGACAAGGAAUUAGAUUGAAUCUUUAUGUGACAUUCAUGCAUACUAUGGACAGAGGUUGGCUCGGGCUGACGCCGUAGCGGAUAUAUAUAUAUAUAUUGAUAUUGCGCUUGGGCUGAAGGAGCUCCUCCGGAGUCUGUACAUACCACUAGUGAGCGUCGUCGAUGUUAAAUAUAUAUUGUUGGCUCGGGCUGCACGCCGCAGUGUAUUCGUGUGCAUUGCAUUGAAUACUUAUUAUUCUAUACUAAUUAUUCACUGAGUUGGUAGUACUCAACCCUACUCCCUGCACCUUGUGUGCAGAUUCAGGUACAUCGGAGGCUUAGCUGAUACUCGUAGUCUCCAAAGAUAUUUCCAGAGUCGUUGAGGUAGCUGCAUGACGUUCGCAGGUCUUGGAUGCUCUUCAUUAUUUUUCCAGUUCAUAUUAUUAUAUACUUUCCCUGUUUUUUAUAUUGUUAUUCAGAUACUAUUAUCAUUACUCAGUUUAGUUUAGAGGCUUUAGACUUGUGACCCCAGAUCUUAUGGGUGUAUUAUCGAUUUUUUGUGUUUAUCUAUGUAACUCUAUUAAUAUUUUUGGAUUAUUAUUCCUAAAUUGUCAAUUUUGAGACUUAGCAUUAAAUUGAAAGCGAUUGUUGGUCAGGCUUACCGAGACUUAAGGCUAGGUGCCAUCACGACUAGGUUUGGGUCGUGACAAGUUGGUAUCGGAGCCUAGGUUACUUGGCUCACGAGUCAUGAGACGGUUUAGUAGAGUCUUGUUUAUGGGUGUGUCGUGCACCACACUUAUAAGUAGGAGGCUACAGAACUAAUAGGAAACACCUCCCUUUCUUGAAAUUCAUAUCGUGCGGCUUUGUUAACGUGAAAACUAAAUUUCUGUAUUCUAUUCUCUCGCAGAUGGAGGAACCCGUGCUAAUGGACGUGGUGGAUGACCCCUAGUACCACUUGCUAGAGGCCUUGGACGCGGUUGUGGUGCUGGAGAGGCAGACCAACAGGGGCAGCACCUGCAGACCCACCAGUUGCCCAGGUCCAGGAUCAGCCUCCAGCUGUAAAUGCUCCGGCAGCACCUAUUCAGGCACCAGCAGUGCCCAUCGUGAUUCCUGGUCUCUAGGAGGCUUAGGCUCAGAUUUUGUCUAUCUGCACUGGCCUAGCUCAGGUGGUUUCAGCCACUACAGCAGCGACUACUUCUCAGAUCGGGGUGGUCAUCAGACCCCUGAUGGUCGCACUCCCGCGCAGGGUGUUCAGGGCUUACAGACACCUGAGGUAGCUCUAGUUCAGCCAGUUGGUCCAGUUGCACCAGUUGCACCGGUUGGUCCAGUUGUGACGGUCGCACCUGCUCCAGCUUAUGUGGUUCCAGCUAUGCCAGAUGACGAUCAACGUUGUUUGGAGAGGUUCGGUAGACUCCAGCCUCCAACAUUCAGUGGUCCUGAGGGCGAGGAUGCCUAGGGUUUUCUGGAUAAAUGCCAGCGGAUGCUUUCGUACAUAAUAUAUUCUGGAGUCUAAUGGAGUGGCUUUUACCACGUUCUAUUUCACAGCAGCUGCAUUUACUUGGUGGGAAGAGUUCGAGAUGUGUAGGCCUAUUAGGGCAGUGCCCCUCACUUAGCAGCAGUUCUCCAUGGUAGUUUUGGAGAAGUAUGUGCCCCAGUCUCACAGGGAGGAGCUGCGUUGUCAGUUCGAGUGGUUGACUCAGGGAGAUAUGUCCGUGACUCAGUAUGAGUUGCGGUCUACACAGCUGGCUAGGCAUGCCAUUUGGAUGAUCCCGACAGAUAGAAAGAGAAUCGGGAGUUUAUAGAUGGCCUCAACUAUCCGAUCCGUAUAUUGAUGACUAAAGAGAGGGCUACAGCAGCUACAUUUGAGGAGGUUGUUGAUGCGGCUCAUCCGAUUGAGACAAAUCGUCGUCGGGAGCAUGUAGAGAGGGAGUCCAAUAGGCCUCGAGGUUCAGGUAAUUUCAGCGGCGCUCUAUCUAGGGGCCAUUUCCAGUAGGGUAGAGGUCGCUCCUUCAGACCUCCUCAGUCCGGACGCACAAAGUCAAGUGGAGCCUCUUCAGGCUGGGGGCAUCAGGGUCAUCAGUAGAGUCAUCCUGCAUUGAGUGCUCUGCCAACUCAGAGCUCUGCUCCUACUCCGUCAGCUUAGGGUUCAUCUGCAGCGAGGGGUUCUCAUCAGUCCCCUUCUCCAGCUUCAAUCCGUUGCUAUGAAUGCAGUGUGUUGGGUCACAUGAAGAGACAGUGUCCUCGACCCCGCAGUAGGCAGCCUCAGCAGAGGGAUCAGCCCUUGUUUUCUGCACAGGUUUCUUCAGCUCCCACUCAAACAGCUAGGGGUGAAGGCCAGGUUGCCAGAGGUCUCCCCAGGGGUGAGGACCGUGCUGGCGGUGGCCAGGCUCGUUUCUAUGCCCUUCCAGAUGGGAGGGACGUUAUUGCCUCGGAUGUAGUUAUCACAAGUAUUAUCUCAGUCUGCCACAGAAAUGCUUCUGUUUUAUUCGAUCCUGGAUCCACCUAUACAUAUGUAUCCUCCUAUUUUUCUCAUCAUUUGGGUACUACCCGUGGUUGUCUUGCCUUGACCGUGUAUGUAUCUACCCCGGUGGGUGAUACUAUUAUUCUGGAUCAUGUGUAUCGAUCCUGUUUGGUGACUAUUAGGGGUCUGGAGACUCGAGUUGACCUGUUAUUAUUAGGCAUGGUAGAUUUCAAUGUGAUUCUAGGUAUGGAUUGGCUAUCUCCGUACCAUGCUAUUGUGGACUAUCAUGCUAAGACAGUUACAUUGGCUAUUCCGGGUAUUCCGAGGAUCGAGUGGCGAGGUGUGACUGAUUAUGUACCUAACAGGGUGAUUUCUUUCCUAAAAGCCCAACGGAUGGUUGGAAAGGAGUGUUUAUCAUAUUUGGCUUUCAUGAGAGAUAUGGAAGCUGAUGCUCCUAGCCUUGACUCAGUUCCCGUUGUUAGGGAUUUUCCUGACGUGUUUCCAAGGGACUUGCCAGGCAUGCCGCCGGAUAGGGACAUUGAUUUCGGUAUUGAUCUAGUGCCGAGCACUCAACCCAUAUCCAUUCCUCCCUAUCGUAUGGCACCAACAAAGCUAAAAGAGUUGAAAGAACAUCUUCAAGAACUCCUAGAUAAGGGAUUCAUUCGCCCGAGUGUGUCAUCUUGGGGUACACUGGUAUUAUUUGUAAAGAAGAAAGAUGGCACAAUGAGAAUGUGCAUUGACUACAGGCAGUUGAAUAAGGUGACAGUGAAAAACAAGUACCCACUACCCCGUAUUGAGGAUUUAUUUGAUCAGUUCCAGGGAGCAAGGGUAUUCUCUAUGAUUGACCUUCGAUCAGGUAAUCACCAGUUGAAGAUCAGGGAUUCAUAAAUUAUGAAGACGACUUUCAUGACGAGAUAUAGGCACUACGAUUUCUAGUUAUUUCUUUUGGGCUGUUGGGAGCAAGGGUAUUCUCUAAUAUUGGCCUUCGAUCAGGCUAUCACCAGCUGAAGAUUAAGGAUUCAGACAUUAUGAAGACGGCUUUCAGGACGAGAUAUGGGCACUACGAGUUUCUAGUGCUGUCUUUCAGGCUGAAUAAUGCCCCAGCCGCGUUCAUGCACUUGAUGACCUGUGUAUUUCGGCCUUAUCUGGAUUCUUUUGUGAUCGUGUUUAUUAAUGAUAUUCUGGUGUAUUCGCGUAGCCAAGAGGAGCACGUACAACACUUGAGAGUGGUCUUGAAGAUAUUGAGAGAGGAGAAUUUUUAUGCAAAAUUCUCCAAGUGUGAAUUCUGGCUUAAUAUUGUGACUUUUCUGGGACACGUGGUGUCCAGUGAUGGCAUUCAGGUUGACCAAAAUAAGGUUGAGGCGGUGCAGAGUUUGCCCAGACCGUCCUCAGCUACUAAGAUUCGGAGUUUCCUCGGUUUGGCAGGUUAUUACCGCAGGUUCGUUCAGGGAUUUUCAUCUAUUGCUUCGCCUUUGACGAAGUUGACUCAGAAGAAUGCUCCAUUUGUGUGGUUGGGUGAAUGCGAGGAGAGCUUCUAGAAGCUUAAGUCAUCUUUGACCACAGCUCCGGUAUUAGUAUUACUAUCAGCUUUGGGUUCUUACACGGUGUAUUGUGAUGCUUCGAGAGUUGGGAUCGAUUAUAUGUUGAUGUAGGAGGGUAGAGUUAUUGCGUAUGCUUCUCGUCAGCUAAAGCCCCAUGAGGAGAACUAUCAUGUUCAUGACUUAGAGUUAGCUGCAAUUAUGCAUGCCUUGAAAAUUUGGAGGAAUUAUCUUUAUGGUGUAUCUUGUGAGGUAUAUACGGAUCAUCUCAGCCUUCAACACUUGUUUAAGCAGAAGGAUCUUAAUCUGAGGCAACGGAGAUGGCUGGAGUUAAUCAAAGACUAUGAUAUUACCAUUUUGUAUCAUCCCGGGAAGGCCAAUGAAGUGGCCAAUUCUUUGAGUUGGAAGUCUAUUAGUAUGGGUAGUUUGGCGUACAUUCCAGUCGGAGAGAGACCCCUUGCGGUUGAUGUUCAGGCCUUGGCCAAUCAGAUGGUGAGGUUAGAUAUUUCCGAGCCCAGUCGGGUGUUGGCAAGUGUGAUUUCCCGAUCUUUGUUGUAUCAGAGAGCGGAAGUAUGAUGACCCAUAUUUGCUUGUCCUGAAGGAUAGGGUCCAGCAUGAUGAUGCCAGAGAUGUGACCAUUGGGGAUGAUGGUGUGUUGCGAAUUCAGGGCCGGAUUUGCGUGCCCAAUGUGGAUGUUCUUCGGGAGUUGAUAUUAGAGGAGGCUCACAGCUCGCGGUAUUCGAUUUAUCCGGGUGCCAUGAAGAUGUACCAGGAUUUGAGGCAGCAUUACUGGUGAAGGAGAAUUAAAAAUAAUAUUGUGAAUUAUGUGGCUUGGUGUCUCAACUGUCAGCAAGUCAAAUACGAGCACCAGAGACCCGGUGGUGUACUCCAGCGGANNNNNNNNNNNNNNNNNNNNNNNNNNNNNNNNNNNNNNNNNNNNNNNNNNNNNNNNNNNNNNNNNNNNNNNNNNNNNNNNNCUAUUCCGGAGUGGAAAUGGGAGAACAUUACUAUGGAUUUUGUGAGUGGUCUUCCUCGUACCUCGAAGAAGUUUGAUUCGAUUUGGGUGAUUGUGGACAGGCUGACCAAGUUUGUGCACUUCAUUCCAAUAUGCACUACCUAUUCAGCGGAGAAGUUAGCAGAGAUUUUCAUCCGGGAGAUUGUACGGUUGCAUGGGAUCCCGGUUUCCAUUGUAUCAAACAGGGGUACCGUGUUUACUUCCCAGUUCUGGCGGACUUAUCAUCGGGAGUUGGGCACACAUGUACAGUUGAGCACAACAUUUCAUCCACAGACGGAUUGACAGUCCGAGCAUACUAUCCAGAUAUUAGAGGACAUGUUGUGUGCUUGUGCUAUUGAUUUUGGAGGUUCUUGGCCUGAAUUCUUGCCACUUGCAGAGUUUAAAUAUAAUAACAGCUAUCAAUCCAUCAUCCAUAUGGCGCCGUAUGAGGCCUUAUAUGGGAGACGGUGUAGAUCUUCGGUCGGUUGGUUUGAGCCCAGCGAGGCUAGAUUAUUGGGGACAGAGUUAGUUCAGGAUGCCUUAAAGAAGGUGAAAGUGAUACAGGAGAGACUUCGUACAGCUCAGUCGCGUCAGAAGAGUUAUGCGGACCGGAAGGUUCGAGAUGUAUCUUAUGCCGUGGGCGAGAAGGUCUUGUUGAAAGGUUUCGCCUAUGAAAGGCGUUAUAAGGUUUGGAAAGAAAGGGAAGCUGAGUCCAAGGUUCAUUGCACCUUUUGAAAUACUUAGGAGGAUUGAGGAGGUGGCCUAUAUGUUUGCCUUUCCACCUAGCUUAUCGGGAGUUCACCCAGUGUCAUGUUUCUACGCUCCGAAAGUAUGUUGGGGACCCGUCUCAUGUGUUAGACUUCAGCACGAUCCAGUUGGAUGAAGACUUGNNNNNNNNNNNNNNNNNNNNNNNNNNNNNNNNNNNNNNNNNNNNNNNNNNNNNNNNNNNNNNNNNNNNNNNNNNNNNNNNNNNNNNNNNNNNNNNNNNNNNNNNNNNNNNNNNNNNNNNNNNNNNNNNNNNNNNNNNNNNNNNNNNNNNNNNNNUGCAUUAUGAUGUGGAGCCGGUGGCCAUUUUGGGUCGCCAGAUUCGAAAGCUGAGAUCUAAGGACAUAGCGUCGGUGAAGGUGCAGUGCAGAGGUCGGCCCGUGGAGGACGCCACUUGGGAGACCGAGCAUGAGAUACGGAGCAAAAAUCCUCACUUGUUUGAUACUCCAGGUAUGUUUCUUGACCCACUCGAGGACAAGCGUUUGUUUAAGUUGUGGAGGAUGUAACGACCUGACCCUUCAUCCUGUGAAUUAUCGCCUUGUUUUCCCUGUUUUAUGCUUUCAUAUAUUUCAAUAUACGUAUUUGGAGAGUUUGAAGUAAUUCAGAUGGAGUUUGGGUAGAAAUGAGACAAUUAGUCUCUUUUUGAGAAGGCUAGUUUGAAAAAGUCAACCGAAUGUUGACUUAUGAGUUAGAGGGCUCGGAAUGGAUUUCAAAUGAUUUGACUAGUUUCGAAUGGUGAUUUAUGACUAAGGAGUGAAAUCAGAACUGAAUUUGGAGGUCCGGUGUAGAAUUAGGGUCGAAUUGGCUAAGUUGGAAAUUUGGCGUAGUCCGGUUGAUAGAGGAGAUUUUGAUCCGGGGGUCGGAAUGGAAUUUCGACAGUUGCAGUAGCUCCGUUAGGUUAUUUGGGAUAUGCGUGCAAAUUUUUUGAUCAUUCGAAGGUGUUUAGGACGGGUUUUGUAUCAAAUGCAAGUUUCGGAAGUUUUAAUUUAACUUAGGCUUGAAUCCGUGGAAAUCUGAUGGUUUUAAUUUUUAUAAUAGUAUUUUUAUGUUACGAGCGAGUUUAAAUGAAGUAAUAAGAUGUAUUUGUGCUUUUGGUUGAGGUCCCGAGGGCCUCGGGGUGAUUUCGGAUGGUUGAACGGAAGGUUUUUGGACUUAGGAAGUUGCAGAAAACUGCUGGUGCGUUGCAGACAUAUUACUCUAUGUGAUUGCAUAGGGUGCAUUGCGAUCACAUAGGAGUAUUUGGAUGGGACUUAGGAUGUUGCAGAAAAAUUGUUGGUGUGUUGCAGAGAUAUUGCCCUAUGCGAUCGCAUAUGGUCCAUUUCGAUCGCAUAGGAGGAUCUGUAAGGGGUUAAAUUUUACUCUAUGCGAUCACAGGGGGAGCAUUGCAAUCGCAUAGGUUGGGCAUGUUGGUCUGUGCGUUCGCAUAAGGGACUGUGCGAUAGCGUAGUGUAGUUUAGGCUGGGUUCCCUGGCAAAGGUUUGUACUAUGCGAUCACAUAGUGGAGAGUGCGAUCGUAUUGGAGGAAAUUAGGGAGCCUGGAUUUUGGCCUAUGCAAUCGCAAUAGGAGUAAUGCGAUCGCAUAGAGGAAAGAACUGGGCGGACAGAAUGUUUUAAGGGUUAUUUUACCCGCGACUUAAACAUAUUUUCCUCCAUUGUAAAGCAACCAAAGGAGCUAUUUGAGCGAUUUGAAGUGUGUAUGCAACGGGUAUCGAUUGGAGGUAAGUAUAUUGACAUUAAAACGCCAUUUUUAGGAAGAAUUAACCCCUAAUUCCAUGAAAUUGUGUAGAAAUUGUGAAGAAUUAGGGCUUAGUUUUUAGAAACGAAUUUUGGGAAUUUGAAGGGUCAAGCGGACUCCGUUUUUGUGAAAUUUAUAUGUAUGGACUCGUGGAGAGACUAGGAAUCCAAAGUUGUGAUUUUCAGAAUUUUUUGAGAAGUGGGCCUGGGGCUCGGGUUUUACCAACUUCGUGAUUUUUAGCUUUUUCGAAUAAUUUCAAUUGGGUUAUGUUUAUUUAGCCUAUAAUGAAUUAUUCGUUGUGAUUUUGACUAGAUUCGACGCGCGUAGACGGAGAUUCAAAUUGUUCGAAUAAUUUCAAUUGGGUUAUGUUUAUUUAGCCUAUAAUAACGUAUUCGUUGUGGUUUUUAAUAGAUUCGACGCUCGUAGCGAGAGAUUCGAAUGGAAAAUGCGUUGCAAACUAGUCUAGGACCGCUUACAAGUGAGCGGUUUGUAUAGAUAAUGGCCUUAGGGUUUUAAAUCCCGGUUUAUCACAUCGUGACGCUAUGUUAGGGCAUGACUCGCAUCCCAUGGCAGAUGCAGGGUUGUAAAAGAUUGGGGAUUGUGACUUGGUCUAUCCCGAGAGCUGAAUAGAAAUUAUUGGUGUCUGAUACGCACAUUGUGUUGCUGAUAAUUGGGCUUAAUGCCAUGUUUGGGGCCGUGUGCCGUUUGUAGUACCCUCUAGGGUGAAUAUCUGUGUGUUAACAUGAUUUGCAUAAUCAUUUAUCUCAGCCAUGUGCUUAAUAAAUGUCAUUAAAUGCUAAGUCACCUUAAUUCUUAUAUUGACUAAUUAAAUUAUGUUCACCUUAAUAAUUGGAAACUGGCAAGGAAUCAGAUUGAAUCUGUUAUGUGACUUACAUGCAUACUAUGGACUCAGGUUGGUUCAGGCUGCACGUCACAGCGGUUAUAUAUAUAUUGAUAUUACGCUUGGGCUGAAGGAGCCCCUUCGAGUCUGUACACACCCCCAGUGAGCGUCAUCGACGUUAAAUAAAUAUGGUUGGCUCGGGCUGCACGCCGCAGCAUAUUCAUGUGAAAUGCAUUGCUUCAUUAUUUGACACUGGACUGUUGUAUUUGCUAUUAUUUUGUUGUUAGUUCAUGGCUAAGGAAUAGGACUGCUAGAUUUAGCUUUGCUUUGUGGCAUUUCGUGGAUUUCUUACUUUCAGAUAUUAUUCUAUUCUUAUUGUUCACUGAGUUGGUGGUACUCACCCCUACUCAUUGCACCUUGUGUGCAGAUUCAGGUACACCGAAGGCUUAGUUGAUACUCGUAGUCUCCCGAGAUAUUUCAAGAGUCGUUGAGGUAGCUGCAUGACGUUCGCAGGAACUGACUGCUCUUCAUUAUUUUUCCAGUUCAUUAUUAUUAUAUACUUUCCUAGAUUUUUAUAUUGUUAAUCAGAUACUAUUAUCAUUACUCAAUUUAGUUUAGAGGCUCUAGACUCGUGACCCCAGAUCGUAUGGGUGUAUUAUCGGUUUUCGUAUUUAUCUAUAUUACUCAAUUAAUAUUUUUGGAUUAUUAUUCUUAAAUUAUCGGUUUUGAGACUUAGUAUUAAAUUGAAAGCGAUUGUUGAUCAGACUUACCUAGCCUUAGGGCUGGGUGCCAUCACGAUCGGGUUUGGGUCGUGACACCCCACCACCUCCGAAAAAAAGUUUUUUUUUUCAAAUUUCAGUUUUCCCGUUAUCACCCACCCUACGACCCCUCCAUCCCCCAACCCCCACGCCCCACNNNNNNNNNNNNNNNNNNNNNNNNNNNNNNNNNNNNNNNNNNNNNNNNNNNNNNNNNNNNNNNNNNNNNNNNNNNNNNNNNNNNNNNNNNNNNNNNNNNNNNNNNNNNNNNNNNNNNNNNUCCGCGCAAAAAAAAUGUUACUUUUUUUUUGUAAUUUAAAUUAGGGAAGCCCAAUUUUGACCAUAUACAAUCUUCUAUAAUUAUUUUUUGUUGAAAAUUACUUUAGGAAAUAGUAUAAGCAAGUGAAUAAAAAUAUAACUUGUUUUGAAAGUCAAACGUAGAAAAUAGUACAAGCAAGUACUCUACAUUUUUUCUCUAAUCCUUGCAAUUUGCCUGGCUUGAACAAGUUACUGUCCUCUUUUUCAGAUACCAAUUCAUGUGUAAUGUGAAUAAUUUCUUACAAUCAUAUUUUAAGUGAUUUGAUUUCAAAAUACUUUUACACAUCAUAGUAUAUAGUAUAAAAUUUAAACAUAAAAAUAUUUAAGGAUUAAAUUAAGUAGUUUGCUAUUGGUAUGAAGAUCAUGGGUAAUGCUUGAGGUCCUCAAAGGGGUGGGAAAUGAUGGAAUAUGAAAAGCAGAAGCCAUAGAAAAAGACUAAAAUAGAGAGUGAAGACAGACCUUUGAAUUCAUUGAAAGAUUGAAGUGGCUAUAUAUUCUUGUCUGAAUCGUGUUGUCGAAGGGCAAGAAAUUGGUAUAAUCAUCCACGCCUCCGAAAGGAAAAUCUUUAGAAAAAAAAAAAAAGAGGAAAGAGAACGUUCUACAUAAUACUAAUACCAAUCAAGUCAGAAUGUUGUUAUGGUCACUUUAUUAUUAAUGUGUGUAUAUAUAUAUAUAUAUACACACACACUAUACACACACAAAAAACGAAGUUAGAAUUUAAAAUUUGUGGGUUCUAAAUUUGUCAUGAAACCUAUAUGCUCCUAUUAGGUAUUGAGUUCUCAUUUAAAUAUUUAUAUAUAUUUAAUAAUUUUUUAAUACAAAUACACUAUUAAAGCAAAAAUAAUUUGGUUCGGCUGCACCCACGCCUAAUAUACUAGGUCCGCCUCUGCUAGAACACACAAAAUAUCAUCAUUUAGUCAGAAUAUUGAAGCUAUUUGUUCAGAAGAGGGAAGUGUUCCCUAUCAUAUA